rnacentral:SRP_RNA from 1 species
UCGCGCUAGAUGGGGAGUCAGCGGUGCCCUGUACCCGCAAUCCGCUAUAGCGGGGUCGAACUCCCUUCUGAGGGCUCGGGAACCAAGGUGGUCCCGGGUGAAGGCGUCGAAGGUCGGACCCUGCGCAGCCCGAAACUCAUGAACCCCGUCAGGUCCGGAAGGAAGCAGCGGUAAGUGGGCGACGGGGGUGCCGCAGGCAGUUCGGCCGGAGCCUUCACCUCGGCAAGGCGCCUAGGGGCUCCGGGAUCGAAGAAGGGUGCGCGA